CCUACGGGUGGCAGCAGUGGGGAAUAUUGCACAAUGGGGGAAACCCUGAUGCAGCGACGCCGCGUGAGUGAAGAAGUAUUUCGGUACGUAAAGCUCUAUCAGCAGGGAAGAAAAUGACGGUACCUGACUAAGAAGCCCCGGCUAACUACGUGCCAGCAGCCGCGGUAAUACGUAGGGGGCAAGCGUUAUCCGGAUUUACUGGGUGUAAAGGGAGCGUAGACGGCAGCGCAAGUCUGGAGUGAAAUCCCAUGGCUUAAACAUGGAACUGCUUUUGAAACUGUGCAGCUAGAGUGCAGGAGAGGUAAGCGGAAUUCCUAGUGUAGCGGUGAAAUGCGUAGAUAUUAGGAGGAACACCAGUGGCGAAGGCGGCUUACUGGACUGUAACUGACGUUGAGGCUCGAAAGCGUGGGGAGCAAACAGGAUUAGAUACCCGAGUAGUC
rnacentral:rRNA from 1 species